rnacentral:antisense_RNA from 1 species
AUAUAUCCGGAAGCAACUGUCAUGGCUGCUGUCAGUGAGGGCCCGUAAUGGAGAUCGAGUCAAGGGUUGCCCAGGGACACUUAAGAGCCUUCGGCUUCAAGGAGGCCUCUCAAAGGACAAAGGAUGAGACUGCCUGGCGGCAGAGUGCCCCCCACAAUCGUAGGAACUGUGUCGCCGCGCUUCCCGUUAACUUGCCGCUAAGUUUUUCUAGAAAAGUCGCCCUUCUUGCCAGGGGUGUCCUAUAGACUUUGUCAUGGAGUGAAACAGAAACAAAUAAUGGCCUGUCCAGAAGACAGCCAAAUACAUCCUUCAAACAGACUUCACUGCAGGAGACAGAGUGGAUUCAUCCUGUAUUCUCCAUGUAGACUUCCAUCUUCAUGAGUACUCCAAGAAGAUGGUUCAGUUGACUAUUGCAAAGGAUGAAAGCAUGGGUCCCUGAGAAUUUCAUUACUUGCAACCUGAAUGGAAAAAUCACUUGAAAGCAUCAUGUGUGAACGCUUUGGAUACAAAAGAGAUCAAUAGAGUUGGCCUGGAACAAGAGAUGCCCUUGAAUGCAAGUUGUAACAACUGAGAGAAAUUGCCCAGACACUGCAACAGGAGAUGCCAACAAAGUAAGAGAGUCAGAGAAGAGCUGAGUCUUGGGAAUGAAAAAGUGAUGAGGGGAUGACUUCCACAGUGGGUAUCCGGUCAUUUGGGCUGCUGCUCUGCCCUCAUCAAAGGGAUUUCCACUCUAAGCCUUUGCUAAUUUCACAACAGGAAAGCAUGCAAGAAAUUCGAGAAGAAAACAAAUCUACACGCAGAGCCCAGCAUCUUCAAGCAAACACCCUGAGGUACAGACCCGAGGCUAGAUGAGUCCGGACUGCAGAUGAGGCAGCUGCCUCUUAAACUGCAAGGGGACUGAAAAAGUCAUUUGCCUCUAAAAAACCAACUCUGAAUACAAAUUGAUAAUGAAUAUUCAUGAGCCCCUCCAGCUUGCUCUAGAGCCACCCUUGACUGCAACCCUGGACUCUGCUUCCUAAAAAGUUUCCCAAAGCUCUUUCUCUGCCUCCUCUCAGAAGGAAGAGGGUGGGAAAGUUCAUUCAGGGCUUUUUGCCUCCAGCUUUCAAGUACUUGCUUUUUGGUCUGGGCUUUUAUUUUUCCUUCUAUUUUUUUUUUCUUAAGGAUUCAGAUCAAAUCAAUUUUGGUCUUACCCUUUGUAUCUUCCAUAAGUAGCAGCUUUUGUUUUCCUCCUCUUUCCUCGUCUUUUCCCCCCCCCAGCCUCUGCUUGCUGUGGUCCGUCUCCGUGAGAGAGGUCCUCAAGGAAACAGAGAUAUAACAGACCCUUGGGCUCGUGGGAGGGGCUAAAUUAUCCGGCCCCGUUUCGGAAGGAACCUCAAACCCUGUCUUUUUCAUUGACUAGAAAGGACAGAUUGACUGAGGAGUCCAGCAGCUCAUUUUCCUAAAGUUACUCGAAGCCUUUUCCAGGUUGUAAUUUUUUGCAUCCUUGAAGCAAUGUAUAUUCAAAUCUCUCUCUCUUUCUCCCUUCUUCCCUCUCUCCCUUACUCCCUCCCUCUUCAUCUCUCUCUCCCUCUCUUCGUUAUAGAAAUCCCUUUUUCCCCCUUGAAAAAGUCAUCUCAGCUGCAAGCAAAAAAAGCUAUUUCCUUACUGCAAUUAUGAAGCUAGAUAAUAAGAAAGUUGUUACCUUGAAACCCGCUCGAAAAACUGAAAGUCAAGAACAAUUCUUCCCUCCCCAUAAAGCCUCUGGUCCCAUGACCAGCAAUCCUUUCUCAAGGCUCAUUAGAGCAAAGAGCAACAGGUGACCCAAGCGAUGAGUUUCCUGCAGGAGACGCUGCGUUAUUGGUUGGAAGGCUGGGUGGAACCACAGAGGAGCUGCUCAAUGGGAACCGCUGCCUGGCUAUGAAUUGAUGAAAGUCAUCCACCAUUUCCCAACUUUGACUUCCUACCUUUGAAGUCUAAUGAGCAUGAAUUACCACAUCCAGACCGUCAAGAUUACCCCAAUGUAGAUGAGAGCCUGACCAAAUUAUUUUUAAACUGUGUAACAAAAUUAUUUUGAAAUCAAAACAAGGGCUAAUCCUUUGAAAGGAAGGUAAGUCCUCAAGUCCCAAGGCGACUUGGCAGCUUCUCCCUCCACAAGGCUGUUGCAAACCUUAGCAUUUCAGGUCUGAAAGAUACCUCAGACAUUGAGUCUAAAAGAGGUUAGAGAUGUGGAGAGGUUAAGCCACCUGCUCAUGCUCACAUACAUGGUCUCUCUUAUUUGCUACCAUGUUCCCCAGCACCUAAUACAGUUUCUCUCACAGCAUGGGCUCUCAAUAAAUAUUUGAUGAAUGGCUGAAAAAAAUGAAUGAAUUGCAGCAAAGCAGAAAUGUAGAUCUGUUUUCCUGUUUCCUAGUUCUUGAUUUUUCUACAUUGCUUGUCUGGCAUGUAAAUUUGUAUCUAAAGCCAGUUAUACCAUAUAAAUCAUUAAAUUUGUGAGCCCGAAGGACUGUUUUGACUCUAUGUAGAAACUAUAUUCUCCAGCGAGCUUUCAGUCAUACUUUAAUAAGGACAAAGGAUAACCUUUUAGUUUAGGCAUCUCUGUUACUUUGCACGGUGCCACAUGGUAUAUACUCAAUACAUUUUUUAUACUUUAAUAAAUUUGGAGCUGUUUAACAAUACCUUAUUUCCGAAAUGCUUUAUAGUUACAGGAUUUUGCAUGUAUGAUAACAAUUAAUUACACUGAAUGAAAGACUCAAUGGAUGUCUUCUCUCGAGUCAGUUUAGACUACAUCUCUAAUAAUGAAUAUUGGUCUGAUAUUCAUCCUGUUAUGAUAAAACUGGUUUUUGGUGAUAUGAUGGGAUUUUUUGUAAAAACCAACAAUAUAAUUGGUUUAUGACUGCCUUUGUACUAUUGUUUUGGAGAGAAAUUUGAAAAGAGCAUGUCCACAAAAUAGUGUGCGAAUUACAGAAUGGAAACCAAAACAUCAAAGCUAGAAAGAGAAAAGAAUGAUCAAAGGGAAGAUCCAGAGUGGCUGAGGGGUAGACAGGAGAAACAGACAAACAAGUACCUGAGCUUGUCAAUGAGAGACACACUUUGGUGGGUGCUGUGGCAACGGUUCUCUACUUUAUUACAUUAGGAUAUUAGGUUCUUUUUUUUUUUUUUUUUUUUGAGACAAGAGUUUUGCUCUUGUCUCCCAGGCUGGAGUGCAAUGGAGCCAUCUCAGCUUACUGCACCCUCUGCCUCCCGGGUUCGAGUGAUUCUCCUGCCUCUGCCUCCAAGUAGCUGGGAUUACAGGCGCCCGCCACCUUGCCCAGCUAAUUUGUGUAUUUUUAGUAGAGAUGGGGUUUCACCAUGUUGGUCAGGCUGGUCUCGAACUCCUGACCUCAGGUGAUCCACCCGCCUCAGCCUCCCAAAGUGCUGGGAUUACAGGCGUGAGCCACCAUGCCCGGCCUAUUUUACUACAUUCUUACAUUCUUUUUUUUGAGACAGAGCCUCACUCUGUCAUCCAGGCUGGAGUGCAGUGGCGUGAUCUUGGCUCACUGCAACCUCUGCCUCCCGGGUUCAAGUGAUUCUUGUGCCUCAGCCUCCCGAGUAACUGGGAUUAUAGAUGCGCACCACUAAGCCCGGCUAAUUUUUGUAUUUUUAGUAGAGAUUGGGUUUCACCAUGUUGUCCAGGCUGGUCUCAAACUCCUGGCCUCAAGUGAUCCACUUGCCUUGGCCUCCCAAAGUGCUAGGAUUACAGGUGUGAGCCACAGUGCCUAGCCACAGUUCUCUAUUUUAAACAAAAUUAAAAUUCAAGUUCACUUCAGUCAUGUUGUAUCAGACGUUGUUGACAAAAGGUUACUUUGACAAUUGUCUCAUUCUCUUUACAUUUCAUCAGGGAGAGAAAGAGUUAGUAAAAAGUAAAUUGUUCUAGUACCCAACUUCUGGUUUAACCAGGAGAGGUAAAAUCUCAUUAUAGUAACUAGCACUUCAUAAAUAUUUGAAGUUCAUCCAAACUGAAUAUGGAGUAACAGAAACAUAGUUUUAACCCCUAAUUCAUAUUACAUGAGCCUUUUGACAACAUUUAAUGCUUUUUAUGGUAAUAUGCUCUGUGCUACAAUUUAAUCACGUUGUCCAGGUUCGCACCCUCCUCAGCAUCAUGAAAAUACUAUGGUUAAGUAUAUAUUAUCACCAAUUCACACAAGAAUAAUUAUAAAAGAGAUGGGAGUUUGUGUGUAUCUUUCUAAAGGCCUCAGAAUUUAUCUUAAAAAAUAAAUCGUCUUUCUCAAC